GUUUAAAGCUGCCCUAUCUUUUUCUCCUACACAAACCCCCUUUCUCCUUUUCGGCGUUGCCGGCGGCGAUCCUUUGUCUCGUCGGAUCUCCGACCUAUCCACCUUCCCUCUCCUCUCUUUAUCAUCUAUCCUACUAAAAAAUCGAAAAAAAUUAUCUAUCGGAAAAACACAUCAAAAUUUUCUAGGGUUUCAGUAUUUUUCUACUUCUAUCAAUUUCCAGUUCGAUAGACGUCGGCUUUUUGAAUUUAUAUAUAUUCUGAGAUUUUGUAUCUGCGAAUAAAAAGAGGAGAGGGAAGUCAGAAAAAUAAAAUCACAAAAAAAAUUCGGAAAACAGAAAAUUAUUUUUUUUGUUUUUGUGUUGAAUUUUGAUGGCGCAGGUUCAAGUGCAGCCACAGGGUGCGAAUGCUAGUGGUGUCAAUCAGUUUGUGACGUCUCUGUACGUGGGUGACCUUGAUGUCAAUGUGACCGAUUCACAGCUGUAUGAUCUGUUCAAUCAGCUAGGACAAGUGGUUUCGGUUAGGGUUUGCAGGGAUUUGACUACCCAGAGGUCGCUCGGUUAUGGUUAUGUCAAUUAUGGGAACCCACAAGAUGCUGCAAGGGCUUUGGAAGUGCUAAACUUUACUCCUCUCAGUGGAAAGCCCAUAAGGAUAAUGUACUCAAACCGAGACCCAACUGUUCGAAGAAGUGGCACUGCAAACAUAUUUAUUAAGAAUUUGGACAAGGCAAUUGACCACAAAGCACUACAUGAUACCUUUUCUGCAUUCGGCAAUAUUCUGUCUUGUAAGGUAGCUGUGGAUUCAUCAGGUCAGUCCAAGGGGUAUGGGUUUGUGCAGUAUGACAGUGAGGAUGCUGCCCAAAAAGCUAUUGAGAAGCUGAAUGGUAUGCUGCUGAAUGACAAGCAAGUAUAUGUUGGACCCUUUGUCCGGAAGCAAGAAAGAGAUAUGGCUGUAGAUAAGACAAGAUUUACCAAUGUCUUUGUGAAAAAUUUAUCUGAAGCGACAUCAGAAGAAGAUCUCAAGAAAGCCUUUGAUGAAUUUGGUGCCAUUACUAGCAUUGCAAUUAUGAAGGAUGAAGAUGGAAAAUCUCGGUCCUUUGGAUUUGUUAACUUUGAAAAUGCUGAAGAUGCUGCGAGAGCAGUUGAAGCUUUGAAUGGCCACAAAUUUGAUAACAAAGAAUGGUUUGUAGGAAGAGCUCAGAAGAAAUCAGAGAGGGAAAUGGAAUUGAAAAAUCGAUAUGAGCAAAGUGCCAAGGAGGCAGUUGAUAAAUCACAAGGCUUGAAUCUAUACAUAAAAAAUUUAGAUGACAGCAUUAGUGAUGACAAGCUCAAGGAUAUGUUCUCUACAUAUGGUACAAUCACUUCAUGCAAGGUUAUGAGAGAUCCUAGUGGAGUAAGCAAAGGAUCAGGAUUUGUUGCAUUCUCAUCUCCCGAAGAGGCUUCAAGAGCGCUCGCAGAGAUGAAUGGAAAGAUGAUUGUUAGCAAACCUCUGUAUGUUGCCCUUGCGCAACGCAAGGAAGAGAGAAGAGCAAGGUUACAGGCUCAGUUUUCUCAGAUGCGUCCAAUUGGAAUGGCAUCUACAGUUGCACCUAGAAUGCCUAUGUAUCCUCCUGGCGGUCCUGGUCUAGGUCAACAAAUAUUUUACGGCCAGCCACAACCAGCUAUGCUUCCCCCACAAGCUGGUUUUGGAUAUCAGCAGCAGCUUGUACCUGGAAUGAGGCCUGGUGGGGGGCCUAUGCCGAAUUUCUUUAUGCCUAUGGUUCAGCAAGGGCAGCAAGGUCAACGUCCGGGUGGCCGACGUGGAGGUGCUGUUCCAUUGCAGCAAGGACAGCAGCCAGUUCCGCUGAUGCAGCAACAGAUGUUUGCGAGGGGGCGUGGAUAUCGAUAUCCUCCAGGACGUGGCAUUCCUGAUGUUGGCUUUCCAGGAGUAGGUGGUGGCAUGUUCUCUGUCCCAUAUGACAUGGGUGGCAUGCCUGUGCGUGAUGCAGGAAUUGCCCAACCAAUUCCGGUAGGGGCUUUGGCUACUGCUCUGGCUAAUGCUUCUCCAACAGAGCAAAGGACGAUGCUAGGUGAAAAUCUGUACCCCUUGGUCGAACAGCUUGAACCAGAAACAGCAGCGAAGGUAACUGGCAUGCUUUUGGAGAUGGAUCAG
rnacentral:misc_RNA from 1 species